GACGAACGCUGGCGGCGUGCUUAACACAUGCAAGUCGAACGGAAAGGCCCUUCUUUUGUGGGGUGCUCGAGUGGCGAACGGGUGAUUAACACGUGAGUAACCUGCCCUUGACUUUGGGAUAACUUCAGGAAACUGGGGCUAAUACCGGAUAGGAGCUCCUGCUGCAUGGUGGGGGUUGGAAAGUUUCGGCGGUUGGGGAUGGACUCGCGGCUUAUCAGCUUGUUGGUGGGGUAGUGGCUUACCAAGGCUUUGACGGGUAGCCGGCCUGAGAGGGUGACCGGCCACAUUGGGACUGAGAUACGGCCCAGACGCCUACGGGAGGCAGCAGUGGGGAAUAUUGCACAAUGGGCGGAAGCCUGAUGCAGCAACGCCGCGUGCGGGAUGACGGCCUUCGGGUUGUAAACCGCUUUCGCCUGUGACGAAGCGUGAGUGACGGUAAUGGGUAAAGAAGCACCGGCUAACUACGUG
rnacentral:rRNA from 1 species